rnacentral:rRNA from 1 species
CCGUGAUAAAGUAGCAUAAUCACUUGUCACUUAAUUAGUGAAUGGAAUGAAUGGUUAAACGAAUCCUACACUGUCUCAAUAAGAAAUCCAAUAAAAUUGGAAUUGUAGUGAAGAUACUACAUAAAGAUUGCAAGACGAAAAGACCCUAUUGAGCUUUACUGAAUACUUAUAUACCAAUACAGAAAAUAAAAAAUAUAUCUCCCAUCAACUAUAAGUAAGACAGUUUGGUUGGGGCGACCACCUCUAAAAUAGUAACAGAGGAGAUCUAAAGGUUAUUUAAAUGUAUAUAAACCUAACUGAAAUAGCUAUAACUUAAACAGAUAUAAAAUGUAGGACAUAAUGACCCGUUAUAUACUAAUUCAAAAUAUAACGACUACAAAAAAAGUUACCAUAGGGAUAACAGGGUAAUAUUUUCUAAGAGUUCUAAUCGACGAAAAU